rnacentral:rRNA from 1 species
CGGGAAUUUUGGGCAAUGUGCGAAAGCCUGACCCAGCAACGCCGCGUGAGGGAUGAAGUAUUUCGGUAUGUAAACCUCGAAAGAAUGGGAAGAAUAAAUGACGGUACCAUUUAUAAGCUCCGGCUAACUACGUGCCAGCAGCCGCGGUAAUACGUAGGGAGCAAGCGUUGUUCGGAUUUACUGGGCGUAAAGGGCGCGUAGGCGGCGCGGUAAGUCACUUGUGAAAUCUCUGAGCUUAACUCAGAACGGCCAAGUGAUACUGCUGUGCUAGAGUGCGGAAGAGGCAACCGGAAUUCUUGGUGUAGCGGUGAAAUGCGUAGAUAUCAAGAGGAACACCUGAGGCGAAGGCGGGUUGCUGGGCCGACACUGACGCUGAUGCGCGAAAGCCAGGGGAGCAAAC